AUAAAUCCUUUGAUGAGGAAGAGUAACCAGGUUGUUUAGUCAUAGAGAGUUGAGGGUGGUGGAAUCUCAAUACGAUAACGAAUGGUGAAUGGACCUUUUAGGAGUAAAUCGAAAUUCAAGAUUUUGAAGAGUAGUGGUUACCGUUAUCCGUACGUUACAAUGGAUAGGAUAUGUUAGUAUCUGAAAGAGUGGUGUUUUAGUACACAAUUUAGGUGGUACCGCGGAAGUAUCUCCGUCCUAAUA
rnacentral:ncRNA from 1 species